rnacentral:lncRNA from 1 species
AGCUGUCUUCACCCAGUGGAUCCCGCACCUGGGCGGCAGGUGGAGCUGCCGGCCAGUCCUGGGCGGUGCGCCGGCACUCCUCAGCCCUUGGGCGGUGGAUGGGACUGGGCUCCGUGGAGCAGGGGGCGGCGCUCGUUGGGAAAGCUCGGGCCGCGCAGGAGCCCACGGCGGGCUGGGGAGGCUCAGGCACGGCGGGCUGCAGGUCCCGAGCUCUGCCCCGCGGGGAGGCAGCUAAGGCCCGGCGAGAAAUCGAGCACAGCAGCUGUCGGCCCAUGUGCUAAGCCCCUCACUCCCCGGGUCGGCGGGGCCCGCCGGCCACUCCGAGUGCGAGGCCCGCCGAGCCCACGCCUACCCGGAACUCGCGCUGGCCCGCAAGCGCCGCGCGCAGCCCCGAUUCCCGCCCGCGCCUCUCCCUCCACACCUCCCUGCAAGCUGAGGGAGCCGGCUCCGGCCUUGGCCAGCCCAGAAAGGGGCUCCUACAGUGCAGCGGCGGGCUGAAGAGCUCCUCAAGCACGGCCAGAGUGGGCGCUAAGGCCGAGGAGGCCCCGAGAGCGAGCGAGGGCUGUGAGCGCUGCCAGCAUGCUGUCACCUCUCAAUAGUAAGUUCUGGAAGCUGAGAAGUCCGAAAUCAAGGUACCAGCAGGGUCCGGUCUGCUGAGGGCUGCUCUCUGCUGUGCCCUCCAGAGAGAACAAAUGCUGUGUCCUCCAGGAGGAAGACCUGGCUCUCUGUGAAGACAUGGCUUGGAUUUAAUUGGGUUGUAAUGCACACAAAGUAAUCAAGUCAAAUCCACAAAUGGCCGUUGAGGACAACUAUUACAAGGAAAUAAGCUUGACAAAAUGCCCCUUUACUAAUUUCUGGCCUGAAAUCUACAGACCUUGCACCCCAGUUGAUAAAUAGCAGAAUUGGAAUUUAAACAGGCCUGGUGACCCAAAAACUUGACUCUAUAUCUUACCCUGAAGAAAUAUGCAAGUGAUAUCAAGCCUGAUAUUGAAACUUUAGUCCACUUCAUCAGACUUUGGAAAAAAACGUGACACUCAACAUAGCAGGUGCCCUAGACAAUGACGGAAUCUCGUUGAAAGCUCUUUAAGCUGAAAUUAAUUUAUGCUCGACAGUGAUUAAAAGAGAAAGUGAGAAGGGGAUGGAAAUUAACAAAUCCAUCUUUAUUGCUGAGAUCCCAUUAUGAUUAUAAGGAGAGAGAAAAAUCAACGUGGCGGGUGCCAGCUGCAAUCUGGAUGUGAUAGGUUAUAUUGGGCAACAAUGACAACAAUUCAGUGGGCUAAAGAAAAAGUUUAAUUUCUGCUGAUAUUGCAUAUCCAACAAGGACUGGAAGAGGGAAUCUUCACUUUGGACCCUAAAAGGUCCAGCCUGAUUUUGAAAUUUGAAGACAAAUUGAUAGGUGGAAACACGAUUCAAGAGAAGGUGAACACACCAUUGUUACUACAGACAGAAGAUGGAUUGAGGGAAGAGUGGCUUAUUUAAUUGGUGAAUUUUAGAGAAGAAAUUGAGAAUGUCUGCUACUUUUCAUCCCUCCUGAAACUACUACUAUUUUUAGAGGUGCCUAACAUGUUGACCUGCUCUUUGGUAGGUGGUAAACUUGCCUUGCAAACUCUUCUGCAAGAAAGGCUUGGGAUCUUUCAGUUUAGUUUAUAACUGACUAGAUUUAUCAGUCCAGAUUGGCUAGGUUAUGCUGGGUAACAAACAACACCAACAUUCUAGUAGAUUUUAAAUAAAGGUUUAACUUCUGCUUCUGCUUAUACUGCUUGUCCAACAAGUGUGAGUAGAGACACAGCCUGAUGGAGACUUAAUCUUAACAUUCUCAACUAUGAUUACCAAAGCAGAAAAAUAAAACACAUUAAAUCACAUGCUGGCUUAUGAAAGCCUCCAUCUUUAAGUGACAUGUGCACUCUCGUUCAUAGUUCAUUGGCCAAAGAAAGUCACCUGGCAUGCCUAAUUUCAAAGUGGUAAAAAAAUGCAAUUCUUCCAUGUGCCUAGAUGAAUGAACUACAGCACAUAUGUGGUGAAUAGCAUGGUGAGUGUCACAGUGAAUCAGUGUAAAAUAUACAACUCAGUGGUUUUUAGCAUAUUUGCAGAGCUGUGCCACCAUAAUCACAGUCAAUUUUAGAAUAUUUUUAUCACCCCCAAAAGAAACCCAUACCCAUUAAUUGUCAUUGUCUACACUUUUGAUUUAAUGAAAACUAAUCAGAUAAAAAAAGAAAACAUUAUUUUAUUUAUAAAACACAUUUGAUUUUACAAACAAUAACAUAUGCAUUAGGAAAGAGGAAACAUUUAGUUCCUUUGAGCUAUAGAAACGACUUCUAGGUCUUCAAGAAAGAGUUGGGCAUGAGGGGAUAUGUUCUCCUUUGUGCCUGAUUUUCCCAUGGAUUAGAGGUUUGCUGACAUUGUGUCUUUUGGCUCUUCCAAGAGCUACUGCUUUCUCCUAAAACAGAAUUUUGUAUUCAAGUCUUGCUUCUAAUCUUCCAUGUUCUUAUUUUUUUUCUCUUCAUCACAUUGCAAUAUUAAAGAAUUAGCAUGACAGUUUAAAUGCAUUUACACAAUACCUAAUGGUAAAAUGAAUGUUAUUAUCAUUGUCCUAUAUAUGUGCAAUUACCUGUAUUUAUACAAAGUUUCAUCACAAAAGUUGGCUUAUUUUAACUUCAUAGUAAGUUGUAAGAUACCUAUAAUUAUCUAAAUUUUACAAAUGAGAAAAUAACACUCAAUGCUAGAGGUAGAACCUAAACUCAGAUCUACUAAUUCCAUGCCCGGGGAUCUUCCCUGUAAUGAUUUUAGAAUAUCACUUCUUAUGGAAUUACAAAAGAAACAGGCAAGACUUUUAUAAUCAGUAGUUUCCAUCUGUAUCCCAAAGAUAAAUUGACUCAACAUAUUCAAUACUUAUUUAUUAGUUCCAAAGUGAUUGACAGCUGGGGCUCACAGAUCCUUUGGCUCUGAAAUAUGGAGGGAAAACCUGAGUAGAGAAAAAAAAAUGUGAUCAAAGCAGAACCAGGGAUCACCACAAACUUCAGAUCGAGGCACAUAAAUGAGAUAUCAGUGAGAAUGUCAAGGCAGUUGGGUCGGGCACUAGGAAAGCAUAGAUGCAAAAGAGAAAAUGGAGUUAAGGAAUCACAAUAUGUCAGAAAUAUGGUCAGAAUUAAAUCCAUUUUCCUGAAACCAUAGAAUAGAACAAGGCAGAAAAGGUGAGGCAUAAGACACCAAGGAGAAAACAAUUCUGAGACAAACUCCAGAAGCACGGUAUCAGUUGGGCAAUUAGC